ensembl:lncRNA
GGAGUGUGACGAUGUCGUCGGUGAUGUGGAGAGUCAAGUUUCCGUUUCAGCCACAGCGUGCUUUAGGUCACGUAGUUGAUGAAGGCGUUCUGGAGCAGGACCAGAAAGACCACGACCAAGCAGCCUUGAGAUCUUAGGCAGCAUCUCCCUCAGGUCCCUCUCUAUCUCCCCACACAUCCACCAACCACUGGAACACAUCUCCAAAGUUCUGCUGGGCCAGCUCAGCUUCCCCUCAGAAGAAGUGCUGCCACCUGCCAGAUGAAGGAGCCUUUUGAGAGGCAGCUGGCAUCGUGAUUGGACUGUACUUUGGUCUGUUCCAGUCCAGCUUCAGCUCCAGAGACGGCAGGCGGGACGAGUCAACGGAGGCCUGGUGGACGAAGGCAUGAAGCUGAGUACAAUCCAGAAAACAACAGAGGAGGAGUGCAGCAGCCCAGAGCCAGAACAAGCAGAGUAGCAUCACCAAAGAACUACAGACUCUUCACAACCUGCUCAAACUCUUGGUACAGGACCUCACCACACGGGUCAAGAAGGUUUCCGUCUCAUUUCUACUCUGAAGCUCACCUUCUCCUGCUCAAACUGCUGACAAAUGUUUCUGCUGCUCUAAAGUCUGGUCUCCAGAACUUCCUAAAAACUCUCAAAGUCUCUUCUGCUGCAGGUUGCUUUGUAGAACUGUUCCAGAAAACCUCACUAAACCAC